rnacentral:rRNA from 1 species
GCAAAGCCCAUCGGUGCCGCAGCAAACGCAGUAAGUAUCCCACCUGGGGAGUACGUUUGCAAGAAUGAAACUCAAAGGAAUUGACGGGGACCCGCACAAGCGGUGGAGCAUGUGGUUUAAUCUGAAGCAACGCGAAGAACCUUACCAAGUCUUGACAUCCCCCUGACCGGCCCGUAACGGGGCCCUUCCUUCGGGACAGGGGAGACAGGUGGUGCAUGGUUGUUGUCAGCUUGUGUCGUGAGAUGUUGGGUUAAGUCCCGCAACGAGCGCAACCCUUAUCCCCAGUAGCCAGCAGGUUAAGCUGGGCACUCUGAGGAGACUGCCAGGGACAACCUGGAGGAAGGUGGGGAUGACGUCAAAUCAUCAUGCCCCUUAUGAUUUGGGCUACACACGUGCUACAAUGGCGUAUACAGAGGGAAGCGAGAGGGUGACCUGGAGCCAAUCCCAAAAAAGACGUCCCAGUUCGGACUGUGGUCUGCAACCCGACCACACGAAGCUGGAAUCGCUAGUA